GAUCAUGGCUCAGGAUGAACGCUAGCGGCAGGCUUAACACAUGCAAGUCGAGGGGCAGCGGGUCUAGCAAUAGAUGCCGGCGACCGGCGAAAGGUGAGUAACGCGUGAGCAACGUGCCCGUAUGUGGGGGAUAGUCGAUGGAAACGUCGCGUAAUACCCCGUAACACAUUUGGCCGCAUGGCCUUAUGUUGAAAGAUUUAUUGCAUACGGAUCGGCUCGCGUGCCAUUAGGUAGACGGCGGGGUAACGGCCCACCGUGCCGACGAUGGCUAGGGGUUCUGAGAGGAAGGUCCCCCACAUUGGAACUGAGACACGGUCCAGACUCCUACGGGAGGCAGCAGUGAGGAAUAUUGGACAAUGGCCGGAAGGCUGAUCCAGCCAUGCCGCGUGGACCGGGAAGACCGGCCCUAUGGGUUGUAAACCGUCUUUUGCGGGGGAGCAAUAAGAGUCACGUGUGGCUCGAUGAGAGUACCCUGCGAAUAAGCAUCGGCUAACUCCGUGCCAGCCGCCGC
rnacentral:rRNA from 1 species